GUUUGAUCCUGGCUCAGAAUCAACGCUGGCGGCGUGCCUAACACAUGCAAGUCGAACGAGAAAGUGGAGCAAUCCAUGAGUAAAGUGGCGCACGGGUGAGUAACACGUGACUAACCUACCCUUGAGUGGGGGAUAACCUGGAGAAAUCCGGGCUAAUACCGCAUAACACCUACGGGUCAAAGGAGCAAUUCGCUUAAGGAGGGGGUCGCGGCAGAUUAGCUAGUUGGCGGGGUAAUGGCCCACCAAGGCGGUGAUCUGUAUCCGGCCUGAGAGGGCGCACGGACACACUGGAACUGAAACACGGUCCAGACUCCUACGGGAGGCAGCAGUGGGGAAUUUUGCGCAAUGGGGGAAACCCUGACGCAGCAACGCCGCGUGGAGGAUGAAGUCCUUCGGGACGUAAACUCCUUUCGAUCGGGACGAUUAUGACGGUACCGGAAGAAGAAGCCCCGGCUAACUUCGUGCCAGCAGCCGCGGUAAUACGAGGGGGGCGAGCGUUGUUCGGAAUUAUUGGGCGUAAAGGGUGCGUAGGCGGUUUGGUAAGUCUUGUGUGAAAUCUAUGGGCUCAACUCAUAGUCUGCACGAGAAACUGUCGGGCUUGAGUGUGGGAGAGGUGAGUGGAAUUUCCGGUGUAGCGGUGAAAUGCGUAGAUAUCGGAAGGAACACCUGUGGCGAAAGCGGCUCACUGGACCACAACUGACGCUGAUGCACGAAAGCUAGGGGAGCAAACAGGAUUAGAUACCCUGGUAGUCCUAGCCCUAAACGAUGACUGCUUGGUGUGACGGGUACCCAAUCCCGCCGUGCCGUAGCUAACGCGUUAAGCAGUCCGCCUGGGGAGUACGGUCGCAAGGCUGAAACUCAAAGGAAUUGACGGGGGCCCGCACAAGCGGUGGAGCAUGUGGUUUAAUUCGACGCAACGCGAAGAACCUUACCUGGGCUCGAAAUGCUAUGGGACCGGGGUGAAACAUCCCUUCCCCGCAAGGGCCGUAGUAUAGUGCUGCAUGGCUGUCGUCAGCUCGUGUCGUGAGAAUGUUG
rnacentral:rRNA from 1 species